rnacentral:rRNA from 1 species
UACAGAGGGGGCCAGCGUUAUUCGGAAUUAUUGGGCGUAAAGGGCUCGUAGGCGGUUUGUCGCGUCGGGAGUGAAAACCCAGGGCUUAACCCUGGGCUGGCUUCCGAUACGGGCAGACUAGAGGUAUGCAGGGGAGAACGGAAUUCCUGGUGUAGCGGUGAAAUGCGCAGAUAUCAGGAGGAACACCGGUGGCGAAGGCGGGUCUCUGGGCCGAUACUGACGCUGAGGAGCGAAAGCGUGGGGAGCGAACAGG